UACGGAGGGUGCAAGCGUUAUUCGGAAUUAUUGGGCGUAAAGAGUCUGUAGGCGGUAUGUUAAGUCGGAUAUUAAAUUCCGGGGCUCAACCCCGGAGCUGUGUUCGAAACUGGCAAACUAGAGUUUCACAGAGGUAAGUAGAAUUUCCGGUGUAGGGGUAAAAUCCGUAGAUAUCGGAAGGAAUACCAAAAGCGAAGGCAGCUUACUGGAGUGAUUCUGACGCUGAGAGACGAAAGCGUGGGGAGCAAACAGG
rnacentral:rRNA from 1 species